rnacentral:lncRNA from 1 species
CAAAAGCCAGAAUUAAACACAGUUCCUCUAAUCCUUUUCCAGAGUCGAUCCUUUCAGUGCCAUUUGAAUUUCAACAAGAAACAAAGCGACAGGCAUUCAUCUGGAGAAUUCAAGAGGAGGAGAGUAAACCUUCCUUCCGCCACUGAACAGAACUGAUGUUGAAGAGACAGGACGGGGCAAGUUAGAAGAAAUCAACUCAGGGCAAAUUCACCGGAACAUUGUUUUACAGAGUAGAUUCCCAGACGACACCAAAAGAGCUGAAAUCUGAAGGGCCCCCCCCCCCCGUCACGGAGCCCUGACUUGGGAGGUGGGCGACGACGGUGGAACCCACAGCGCUCUUGGUGUUGACAACAGCGUACUAGGACGCUCUAGGAAAAGC